rnacentral:misc_RNA from 1 species
GAUGAAGAACGCAGCGAAAUGCGAUAAGUAGUGUGAAUUGCAGAAUUCAGUGAAUCAUCGAAUCUUUGAACGCACAUUGCGCCCCUUGGUAUCCCGAGGGGCGUGCCUGUUCGAGCGUCAUUUCACCACUCAAGCCUGGCUUGGUGUUGGGCGACGUCCCCUUUAGGGACGCGCCUCGAAACGCUCGGCGGCGUGGCACCGGCUUUAAGCGUAGCAGAAUCUUUCGCUUUGGAAGUCGGGGCCCCGCCUGCCGGAAUACCUACUCGUAAGGUUGACCUCGGAUCAGGCAGGGAUACCCGCUGAACUUAAGCAUAUCAAUAAGCGGAGGA